AGAGUUUGAUCAUGGCUCAGGACGAACGCUGGCGGCGUGCCUAACACAUGCAAGUCGAACGGAGAUACGAUUUCGGUUGUAUCUUAGUGGCGAACGGGUGAGUAACGCGUGAGCAACCUGACUCUUAGAGGGGGAUAACACUCGGAAACGGGUGCUAAUACCGCAUAAGACCACGACAUGGCAUCAUGACGAGGUCAAAGGAGCAAUCCGCUGAGAGAGGGGCUCGCGUCCCAUUAGAUAGAUGGCGGGGUAACGGCCCACCAUGUCCGCGAUGGGUAGCCGAGCUGAGAGGCUGAUCGGCCACACUGGAACUGAGACACGGUCCAGACUCCUACGGGAGGCAGCAGUGGGGAAUAUUGGGCAAUGGGCGCAAGCCUGACCCAGCAACGCCGCGUGAGGGAAGAAGGCUUUCGGGUUGUAAACCUCUGUCCUUGGUGACGAAAAAAAUGACGGUAGCCAAGGAGGAAGCCCCGGCUAACUACGUGCCAGCAGCCGCGGUAAUACGUAGGGGGCGAGCGUUGUCCGGAAUUACUGGGCGUAAAGGGUGCGUAGGUGGCCUUUUAAGUUGGAUGUGAAAUACCCGGGCUUAACCUGGGGGGUGCAUCUAAUACUGGAAGGCUAGAGUGCAGGAGAGGAAAGCGGAAUUCCUAGUGUAGCGGUGAAAUGCGUAGAUAUUAGGAGGAACACCAGUGGCGAAGGCGGCUUUCUGGACUGUAACUGACACUGAGGCACGAAAGCGUGGGGAGCAAACAGGAUUAGAUACCCUGGUAGUCC
rnacentral:rRNA from 1 species